rnacentral:rRNA from 1 species
CAGAGGGGGCAAGCGUUGUCCGGACUGACUGGGCGUAAAGCGCGCGCAGGCGGAUGCGGGCGUCGGUGCGGAAAGGUCGCCGCUUAACGGCGGAGAGCGUACCGAUACGCCGCGUCUGGAGCGCGGGCGAGGGUGGUGGAAUUGCCGGUGUAGUGGUGAAAUGCGUAGAGAUCGGCAGGAACACCCGUGGCGCAAGCGGCCACCUAGCCCGUUGCUGACGCUGAGGCGCGACAGCGUGGGGAGCGAACUGGAUUAGAUACCCAGGUAGUCCACGCCGUAAACGAUGCCGACUCGGUAUCCGGGGUCCGAUAAGGACGCUGGGUGCCCCAGCUUACGCGGUAAGUCGGCCGCCUGGGGACUACGAGCGCAAGCUUA